rnacentral:lncRNA from 1 species
UAACAUAGUAACAAUAAGAACCAAAUUCAAAACAAACAUUUUACAUUAACAUCAAAAUAUCAUAAAACUGAUUAGCAAACCAUUAAAUGUAUGCAAAUGGUAGCAGAAAAUCAUAAGCAACUAGUCAAAACCUGAUAAAGCUCAACUAAGCUAUGAACUAUCCAUUACCAAAGUGAGUAAACAAAAAUAAGAGUUGGAAAAUAAAAAUAAAAACUAAUCCACGAUUAACCAAACCAAUUGAUAGAGUGAAAUUUAUAGAGAACGGAACCCAAUUAUCCUAAAAUUAAUAACCUGGGAAAAACAACAAAUGAUCAGAAAGUGAUAAACUUAAUGAGAUAGUGAAAACUGUGUAUCUAUCUAACAGCUUAACCUUCAUUCAAGGACCAGUAACAGACUAAACAAAUCACUAUGGGUUUGUUUGGAUAAACUUUAUAACAAACACUCAGAAAAAGAAAAGUUUUGAAAUAAUUACAAUGACUUCAUUUCUACAACUCAACUUUUUUUGUUAUUUGUUUCUCUAUUCAAGGGACUUGAUUUUGUCCAUUUUAAUAAGUUAUAAUCAGAGAGACCAAUUAAAACUUUAAGAGAAGGCCAAAACCAAAUUAAACAAAUCUUCUGUAAGAAAGUAUAAUUCACAUUUCACCUUUUGAUGCAGACAAUGCAGUGAGUAGUCAUGCAUGAGUACAUGAUUGUGUUAAUGAACACCCUCUUUUUAUAUUUUAUUAUUUUAAUGUUUAUGAGUUUUAGAGUUCAACUCAGCUAUGUUUAAUUUUAUAAUUUUAAAUUUAUUAUUUUCAUGUUUAUGAGUUUUGGAACUCCAUUAUUCAAAUUUAACUGAAUUAUUCAUCUGUUGCAACUUAUAAAAAUCUCAAUUUUCUUGCCUACAAACACAACCUUUCCUCUUUAGCAUAUGCAAAGGAGGGGAAAUGAAAGAAGAAAAAAAAUAUGCUUU